UACGUAGGGGGCAAGCGUUGUCCGGAUUUAUUGGGCGUAAAGAGCGUGUAGGCGGCCUGAAAGGUCAGCUGUGAAAACUCGAGGCUCAACCUCGAGACGUCGGUUGAAACCGUAUGGCUAGAGUCCGGAAGAGGAGAGUGGAAUUCCCGGUGUAGCGGUGAAAUGCGCAGAUAUCGGGAAGAACACCUAUGGCGAAGGCAGCUCUCUGGGACGGUACUGACGCUGAGACGCGAAAGCGUGGGGAGCGAACAGG
rnacentral:rRNA from 1 species